CUACGGGAGGCAGCAGUAGGGAAUCUUCCGCAAUGGACGAAAGUCUGACGGAGCAACGCCGCGUGAGUGAUGAAGGUUUUCGGAUCGUAAAGCUCUGUUGUUAGGGAAGAACAAGUGCAAGAGUAACUGCUUGCACCUUGACGGUACCUAACCAGAAAGCCACGGCUAACUACGUGCCAGCAGCCGCGGUAAUACGUAGGUGGCAAGCGUUGUCCGGAAUUAUUGGGCGUAAAGGGCUCGCAGGCGGUUUCUUAAGUCUGAUGUGAAAGCCCCCGGCUCAACCCGGGGAGGGUCAUUGGAAACUGGGAAACUUGAGUGCAGAAGAGGAGAGUGGAAUUUCCACGUGUAGCGGUGAAAUGCGUAGAGAUGUGGAGGAACACCAGUGGCGAAGGCGACUCUCUGGUCUGUAACUGACGCUGAGGAGCGAAAGCGUGGGGAGCGAACAGGAUUAGAUACCCUGGUAGUGCACGCCGUAAACGAUGAGUGCUAAGUGUUAGGGGGUUUCCGCCCCUUAGUGCUGCAGCUAACGCAUUAAGCACUCCGCCUGGGGAGUACGGUCGCAAGACUGAAACUCAAAGGAAUUGACGGGGGCCCGCACAAGCGGUGGAGCAUGUGGUUUAAUUCGAAGCAACGCGAAGAACCUUACCAGGUCUUGACAUCCUCUGACAACCCUAGAGAUAGGGCUUUCCCUUCGGGGACAGAGUGACAGGUGGUGCAUGGUUGUCGUCAGCUCGUGUCGUGAGAUGUUGGGUUAAGUCCCGCAACGAGCGCAACCCUUGAUCUUAGUUGCCAGCAUUCAGUUGGGCACUCUAAGGUGACUGCCGGUGACAAACCGGAGGAAGGUGGGGAUGACGUCAAAUCAUCAUGCCCCUUAUGACCUGGGCUACACACGUGCUACAAUGGACAGAACAAAGGGCUGCGAGACCGCAAGGUUUAGCCAAUCCCACAAAUCUGUUCUCAGUUCGGAUCGCAGUCUGCAACUCGACUGCGUGAAGCUGGAAUCGCUAGUAAUCGCGGAUCAGCAUGCCGCGGUGAAUACGUUCCCGGGCCUUGUACACACCGCCCGUCACACCACGAGAGUUUGCAACACCCGAAGUCGGUGAGGUAACCUUUAUGGAGC
rnacentral:rRNA from 1 species